AAUUUUGUAGCUCAGAGGAAAGAGCGCUGCCGCCAAGGCAGAGGUCGCGGGUUAAAGUCCCGCCAAAG
rnacentral:tRNA from 1 species